AUUAUAAACGAUGAGGAACUUACCUAAACGUUGCUUCGGCGGGAAUAGACGGCCCCGUGAAAACGGGCCGCCCCCGCCAGAGGACCCUUAACUCUGUUUCUAUAUAGUGUAUCUUCUGAGUAAAACAAGCAAAUAAAUUUAAAACUUUCAACAACGGAUCUCUUGGCUCUGGCAUCGAUGAAGAACGCAGCCGAAAUGCGAUAAGUAAUGUGAAUUGCAGAAUUCAGUGAAUCAUCGAAAUCGUUUGAACGCACAUUGCGCCCGCCAGUAUUCUGGCGGGCAUGUCCUGUUCGAGCGUCAUUACAAGCCCUCAGGCCCCCGGGCCUGGCAGUUGGGGAUCGGCGGUUUAGCGCCCCACAUGG
rnacentral:misc_RNA from 1 species